rnacentral:lncRNA from 1 species
UCCGCCCCGUCCCGGAUGUCGGAAAUUUCCCGGGACACGGUGGGCCCACCGGGGCCCAUUUUCGGAAAAAUUCAAAAAUGGAGCAUGGGCAUCGCCCUUGCUUUAGGCAUACAUGGGGCUUUAUUUUCUUAUUGUAGGUGAGGCAUCGAGGUGUUGUGUAGCCUAUAAUAGCCCCAGUCGGAACUGACGCGGGCCCGAAUAUGAAUUGACGGAAUUUUAUGCGGCUGUGAUGGCCGUAGAGGGCGAGGCCGAGACAUGGAUGGAAGAUCCAACCAAAGCUGUUGGGGCCCAACCCCAUGC